rnacentral:misc_RNA from 1 species
GGACAGCUUAACUACAACAACAAAAAUAAUUCACCUAACCAAGGCUAAAACCAAACGGUCUACUUAACUGGAAGUAUAAAUACAAUGACUUAACUGCAACCGAUUAAAUGACCAUUCUAUUUUCUAUGUAAAGCGUCCACAAAAAUUUUAUUUUAAUCUUAUACUGAGAUUUUCAAUUCGCAACUAUGUUCGCUUACGUAUAUUUCAUUAAUGAUAAGCAAUUUUCUAAGGUGCCUGUAGGCUUUAUUAAGAAGUUUGAGAAAGAAACGUAUCUUGUGACAAACAUUUAUAAAGUUUUUGGAGUUUGCAUAUCCAUUCGCUCCAAAACGAAUACGAUGAAAAGUGCCACUCUUUAUUGAGAGAUCUCAGAGAGCUUCCACCUAAACAUUCGUGGAAAGUUUCUCAAGGAGAAGGGUUUUAUUUUGCCCACAUUUUACGAAUAGAAGGUAAAUAUAUCAAUAUUUUCUAUAAAAAAAAACAUAAUAAUCAAGAGAUUAUAUCAAAGUGUUGCAGUUAUAUUAUGUUUCGUAAUUUUUUUUUAGAUUCAUUCAUCACUAGCCUGAAGCUGAAAAGACCAGCCAUUCCUGUUACGCAGUGCGAGGAAGAAAUUAUCACCACAGAAAAUGAAGUUGCUAGUUUACAGAUUGAAAAAGAAAACAAAAAGCAAGAAAGAAGAUGCUGAGAUGAAGCAUAGAGAAAAUGCUGGCAAAAGAAAAAGAGCUAACGAUAUUUUUGAAGAGGGAAAAAGGUCAAGAAAAGAGAUAUUCAGUAAACUAGAUUUAGAAAACGAAACUGAUGGCUUCGUAACUUCAGACUCUGACGAUGAUCCUGAAGUGAUACCAAGUACCAUGUUCAGACAAUUAAAAACAUCUUAUGAUAUGUUGGAAAAAGAGAAAGCUGACAAGAAGAUCGAAAAUCUGGAGAGAAAAAUUCUUCAGUUAGAAAAACAGGCUGAGAAUGUAGACAACAACGAAGUUGUGCAAUUGCGAAGUUUGAAUAGACAGCUACAAGAAAGGCUUUUAUGUUUGCCAACUAGUCAAGUAGAAUGCUCUUGUACAGCUAGAAAAUUGCCUGAAAUUCAAGAAGCAAGUGAUUCCGAAACAAUGGAGGUUGAACUUGGAGGAGGAAUUUCCAUCAACAAAACAGUGUAUAAAGAACUGUUUCAGUUGGAUCAUGUGCGAAAAUUCACCAAGAGUCUUGCUGUGGCUAUAUGGGGAACUGCUGCAUCAGCUGGUAGGUCCGUAACUGGAAAAGUAUGCAAAAACGGAAACGGGCCUAAGAAAGCAGUUUCAGGUGCUAUCCAUCCCCAUCCACAGCAAGACUCAAAACCACCUCUCACGCCUGAAAAGUUGGCUGUUAUUUCAGAUAAUAACCAUUGAGUGUGGACUAAAUAUAUAGAAGUUUAAGGGAGGGAAACCUCCAACUGACGUACUUCAAUUUCACGAUUCCACAAGUCAAAUGAAAGAAUUUUUGAUUAAAAAAGGUGAAAAGUCUUCAGAAAUAGAGUCUGUAAUAAAACACAGAAAUCGUUAUUUAUCGGACAAAAUCCAUGACAUUUGUAGUAAUGUUGCAAGAGCAGAAGCAUAUAAUAAAUCUUUUUAAAGUGUC